GAAAAUACUGUGAUAUUUUAUUAUUAAAAAUGCUGCUGAAAAGUUUAUACAUAUGUGUCCAGCCAUAUAUAUCUUCUAUCAUUACUUAAGGCAAAAUCAAAAACAAAAUCGCAAAAUAAUAAUCCGAGAAACCAUUAAACCCUGCGUGCCAGUGAAGUUCAAGAAUAAAAGCCUAGGAAAGUUUUUUUUUUUAACUUAUUUUUUUUCUCAGUUUUCUCUUUUUUAUAGAUAGCAAGUAUAUUUUAUUCUCAUAGAACUCUAUGAAGAUUCUAUAACUUCUUUCCAUGUAGAAAUAAGAUAUCAUUUAAGGUGUAUUAAAUUGCUUUUGAUCAUAACCCUUUGUAAAAGCUAAAGUUAUUCACUUAACAAGAACUCUUUUUUUUUUUUCCUUAUCCAAAUGUCACAAGCCUGAUACAUUACUGUGCAUAUUGCUAGCAGAAGACGAUUGGAAAUACUAAACAAAUACUGAAAUUCACAUCACAAACAGACCGGUCCCACACGGCUGUCGAGUGCCACUUCCCCUGUAACUUCCUGGACAGCCUAUUUGUGGUCACUUAGCUGGGGUAAUAAAUACAUGGCUUGCAGAAAUGGUCUGACGGAUACGCAAAAUGCACAAAAGAUAACCAUUUCAGACAAGCGUAAUGUUUUACCCCAUAAAUGAUCCAAAGAAUUCAAAAACAACAACAACCACAAAAAAAACCCCGCUUACUGAUAAAUAAUGGACUUGACUGCUUUUACCAGAAAGGAAAGACACAUGCCCCCUCCCUCGAUCUGAUUAGCUAAGCUGAACAG
rnacentral:lncRNA from 1 species